rnacentral:misc_RNA from 1 species
CAACCCUCGGCUUCCGCCGGUUUUGAAUCAGAACGGGGUCACACCCGCGCCGGUUUUAAAGUUGUAAGCUCUGCCGGCCACCCUGCCCAACCAGAACAUAGUAAGCACUACUUGUUGAGGUGAAGCUAAAGUGGUUCGGCCUGAAAAACCUACUUUCUCUAAG